GGGAUAACAGCUGGAAACGGCUGCUAAUACCGCAUAAGCGCACAGAGCUGCAUGGCUCGGUGCGAAAAACUCCGGUGGUAUGGGAUGGGCCCGCGUCUGAUUAGGCAGUUGGCGGGGUAACGGCCCACCAAACCGACGAUCAGUAGCCGGCCUGAGAGGGCGACCGGCCACAUUGGGACUGAGACACGGCCCAAACUCCUACGGGAGGCAGCAGUGGGGAAUAUUGCACAAUGGGGGAAACCCUGAUGCAGCGACGCCGCGUGAGCGAAGAAGUAUUUCGGUAUGUAAAGCUCUAUCAGCAGGGAAGAUAAUGACGGUACCUGACUAAGAAGCCCCGGCUAACUACGUGCCAGCAGCCGCGGUAAUACGUAGGGGGCAAGCGUUAUCCGGAUUUACUGGGUGUAAAGGGAGCGUAGACGGCAAGGCAAGUCUGAUGUGAAAACCCAGGGCUUAACCCUGGGACUGCAUUGGAAACUGUCUGGCUCGAGUGCCGGAGAGGUAAGCGGAAUUCCUAGUGUAGCGGUGAAAUGCGUAGAUAUUAGGAAGAACACCAGUGGCGAAGGCGGCUUACUGGACGGUAACUGACGUUGAGGCUCGAAAGCGUGGGGAGCAAACAGGAUUAGAUACCCUGGUAGUCCACGCCGUAAACGAUGAAAGCGAGGUGUUGGGGAGCAAAGCUCUUCGGUGCCGCCG
rnacentral:rRNA from 1 species